rnacentral:ncRNA from 1 species
AUUCAGCCAAGGCACGUCAGGUGAAAACCUGCUCACGCAAAGCCAUGGGCCUAAUACUUAAACAGUGAAGGCUGCCAGGUUGCAAUU